CUUGUCCAGGUUGUAAUAUUUAGAGAUGGGACAUAUCUGACCUUAAAAGAAGUUUUUGAGAGUUUGGACUAGACUGGGUAAAAUCUUAUUCCUAAAGCAGGAUAAUCUCAUUCAAGGUAUAGAGAGGGAAAUUGGAGCAUUACAAUUGGAAGAAAAGAAGCUUCUUGCUGAGAUAAAGAGAACUGCUAAGACGGGAAACAAGGCUGCAACUAAAGUUCUUGCUCGACAGUUGGUAAGGCUUACGCAGCAGAUUGCUAACCUUCAAGGUAGUCGAGCUCAGAUGAGAAGCAUAGUAACUCACACACAAGGCACAGGUCAAAACAAUUUAGCUUGCAAUGAUACAUGAAGUUUUUAUAUCUUGGCAUGAAGUACAAGAAGACUUUGAUUAGGAAUUCUAAUUCAUGUAUUAGGAAUUUCAUGAGAAGUUAUGACUUUCACUUUUGGUAUUUUGAAGAAGAUUUUGAUUAGGAAUUC